CUCUGGUAUUGAUUGGUGCUUGCAUCAUGAUUUACAUUUGAGUGAGUGGCGAACUGGUGAGUAACACGUGGGAAACCUGCCCAGAAGCGGGGGAUAACACCUGGAAACAGAUGCUAAUACCGCAUAACAACUUGGACCGCAUGGUCCGAGCUUGAAAGAUGGCUUCGGCUAUCACUUUUGGAUGGUCCCGCGGCGUAUUAGCUAGAUGGUGGGGUAACGGCUCACCAUGGCAAUGAUACGUAGCCGACCUGAGAGGGUAAUCGGCCACAUUGGGACUGAGACACGGCCCAAACUCCUACGGGAGGCAGCAGUAGGGAAUCUUCCACAAUGGACGAAAGUCUGAUGGAGCAACGCCGCGUGAGUGAAGAAGGGUUUCGGCUCGUAAAACUCUGUUGUUAAAGAAGAACAUAUCUGAGAGUAACUGUUCAGGUAUUGACGGUAUUUAACCAGAAAGCCACGGCUAACUACGUGCCAGCAGCCGCGGUAAUACGUAGGUGGCAAGCGUUGUCCGGAUUUAUUGGGCGUAAAGCGAGCGCAGGCGGUUUUUUAAGUCUGAUGUGAAAGCCUUCGGCUCAACCGAAGAAGUGCAUCGGAAACUGGGAAACUUGAGUGCAGAAGAGGACAGUGGAACUCCAUGUGUAGCGGUGAAAUGCGUAGAUAUAUGGAAGAACACCAGUGGCGAAGGCGGCUGUCUGGUCUGUAACUGACGCUGAGGCUCGAAAGUAUGGGUAGCAAACAGGAUUAGAUACCCUGGUAGUCCAUACCGUAAACGAUGAAUGCUAAGUGUUGGAGGGUUUCCGCCCUUCAGUGCUGCAGCUAACGCAUUAAGCAUUCCGCCUGGGGAGUACGGCCGCAAGGCUGAAACUCAAAGGAAUUGACGGGGGCCCGCACAAGCGGUGGAGCAUGUGGUUUAAUUCGAAGCUACGCGAAGAACCUUACCAGGUCUUGACAUACUAUGCAAAUCUAAGAGAUUAGACGUUCCCUUCGGGGACAUGGAUACAGGUGGUGCAUGGUUGUCGUCAGCUCGUGUCGUGAGAUGUUGGGUUAAGUCCCGCAACGAGCGCAACCCUUAUUAUCAGUUGCCAGCAUUAAGUUGGGCACUCUGGUGAGACUGCCGGUGACAAACCGGAGGAAGGUGGGGAUGACGUCAAAUCAUCAUGCCCCUUAUGACCUGGGCUACACACGUGCUACAAUGGAUGGUACAACGAGUUGCGAACUCGCGAGAGUAAGCUAAUCUCUUAAAGCCAUUCUCAGUUCGGAUUGUAGGCUGCAACUCGCCUACAUGAAGUCGGAAUCGCUAGUAAUCGCGGAUCAGCAUGCCGCGGUGAAUACGUUCCCGGGCCUUGUACACACCGCCCGUCACACCAUGAGAGUUUGUAACACCCAAAGUCGGUGGGGUA
rnacentral:rRNA from 3 species